rnacentral:rRNA from 1 species
ACGCUCGACACCUACGGGCAGCAGUGGGGAAUAUUGCACAAUGGGGGAAACCCUGAUGCAGCGACGCCGCGUGAAGGAAGAAGUAUUUCGGUAUGUAAACUUCUAUCAGCAGGGAAGAAAAUGACGGUACCUGAGUAAGAAGCACCGGCUAAAUACGUGCCNGCAGCCGCGGUAAUCUGAGCGGGCUGGCAAGGC